UUGAACGCUGGCGGUAGGCUUAACACAUGCAAGUCGUGCGAGAAAGUAUCUUCGGAUAUGAGUAGAGCGGCGGACGGGUGAGUAACGCGUAGGAAUCUACCUAGUAGAAGGGGAUAGCCCGGGGAAACUCGGAUUAAUACCGUAUACCUCCUUUGGGAGAAAGAGGGCCUCUCUUGAUGCUCUCGCUAUUAGAUGAGCCUGCGUAAGAUUAGCUUGUUGGUAAGGUAAUGGCUUACCAAGGCUACGAUCUUUAGCUGGUCUGAGAGGACGAUCAGCCACAUUGGGACUGAGACACGGCCCAGACUCCUACGGGAGGCAGCAGUGGGGAAUAUUGGACAAUGGGCGCAAGCCUGAUCCAGCCAUACCGCGUGUGUGAAGAAGGCCUUCGGGUUGUAAAGCACUUUAAGCAGGGAGAAAAAGCUAUAAGUUAAUACCUUAUAGCCGUGAUGUUACCUGCAAAAUAAGCACCGG
rnacentral:rRNA from 1 species